rnacentral:rRNA from 1 species
GUCUACAGCCAUGCCACCCUGAACACACUUGAUCCCAUCUGAUCUCGGAAAGUAAGCAGGGUCGGGCCUGGUUAGUACUUGGAUGGAAGACCACCUAGGAAGACUAGGUGCUGCAGGCA